rnacentral:rRNA from 1 species
AGAGUUUGAUCAUGGCUCAGGAUGAACGCUAGCUACAGGCUUAACACAUGCAAGUUGCGAGGCAGCGUGAUAUUAGCUUGCUAAUAUUGAUGGCGACCGGCGCACGGGUGAGUAACGCGUAUCCAACCUGCCCAUUACCGGGGUAUAGCCCGUCGAAAGGCGGAUUAAUCCCCCAUGGAGUCAGAAUAUGGCAUCAUGAUUUGACGAAAGGUUUAGCGGUAAUGGAUGGGGAUGCGUCCGAUUAGAUAGUUGGCGGGGUAAAGGCCCACCAAGUCGACGAUCGGUAGGGGUUCUGAGAGGAAGGUCCCCCACAUUGGAACUGAGACACGGUCCAAACUCCUACGGGAGGCAGCAGUGAGGAAUAUUGGUCAAUGGACGAGAGUCUGAACCAGCCAAGUAGCGUGCAGGAUGACGGCCCUAUGGGUUGUAAACUGCUUUUAUGCGGGGAUAAAGUGUGGGAUGCGUCCCAUAUUGCAGGUACCGCAAGAAAAAGGACCGGCUAAUUCCGUGCCAGCAGCCGCGGUAAUACGGAAGGUCCGGGCGUUAUCCGGAUUUAUUGGGUUUAAAGGGAGCGUAGGCCGGAAGAUAAGCGUGUUGUGAAAAGUCGGGGCUCAACCUCGGCCUUGCAGCGCGAACUGUUUUUCUUGAGUACGCAGUAGGUAGGCGGAAUUCGUUGUGUAGCGGUGAAAUGCUUAGAUAUGACGAAGAACUCCGAUUGCGAAGGCAGCCUGCCGUAGCGCGACUGACGCUGAUGCUCGAAAGCGUGGGUAUCGAACAGGAUUAGAUACCCUGGUAGUCCACGCGGUAAACGAUGGAUGCUCGCUGUUGGCUUUAUAUAGUCAGUGGCCAAGCGAAAGCGUU